rnacentral:lncRNA from 1 species
AACAGAUCAUAUAUUAAAUGAGUUCCCUAGAGCAAAAAGGUAGAAAACAAAUAAAACGUGUAAAAAAAAUAUUUAUAUAUGAAUGAGAAUUAUGUAACAAGUGGCUUUAGACCUAGCUGUCUAAAACCAAAAACAAUAUUCUUCAGUAUUCUCAUACAAGUUCCCAAAACCCGUUGUAUUCCACAUACAAGUUCCCAAAACCCGUUGUAUUCCACAUCCAACUGCCACUAGAAUAAUCAUGCGUGUCCAUUGCUACAAUAUAACCUUCUCCAGUCUAUUUUGCAAAGGUCCUUUGUCACAGGAAGUUUUCUGCUUAUCAUAAUAAAC